rnacentral:lncRNA from 1 species
CAAAGAGGACACUUUCCAAACCUGAAAAUCUUGGCCUGGGCACUUUCACCUGCGACAUCCAUGAUGCUGUUGCUACUCUUUCUCCCUCUGCUGUCCUUCCUGUCUCCCUCUCCCUGUGCAGAUUUUUUCCAGAUUUCCUCUCCGUGGGAGAAUCCUCUGGAGUUUGUUUCACUGUUCUUUUCUAUUUCAGGGGCGGGUGGAGGUCAGCACCAGUGAGGAAUGACACCGUUUUAUAUAAGGGAUCUGAGCAUUAGAUUUUGGCAUCCCCCACAUAUACUAGGGAAUGAUUUUAUUUCCCCAGAAAUCAAGCCGAGCCUCCCUUUUUUUUUUAAGCUUUAUUUUUUAAAAAUGUAUUUAUUUAUUCUAAUUUAUUAUACAGGGCAGCAGAAUGCGUUUCAAUCCACAGUACACAUAGAGAGCACAAUUUUCCCUCCCCUCCCUUGCUCUCCGCCUCUGCUUGCAGGGCCCUGGGCCUUUCUGCGCCUCCUCCCUCACUUCCUUGACCUCCCCAGUCCCGGGGACGUCCCAGUCCUGAGCAUCUCUGUCACUCAGGCACAGCCACUCCCUGGGUCUCCUGGCCCUGAGGGAGGCCCCACCCUUGCCCUUCCUCAGUUUAUUCCUGCUAAGCCGCUUCUUUGCCUUCACCUGGGACCCUGGAGCCUCUCCUCUGUUUUUGGCAUCUAGGACCCAUCCUGGCUGUCUCUACCCCUCCCUCCCUCUCAAGUUUGGAUUCCGUGGUGAGCUGAUUAGGCCAGGUUCUCAAAAAGCACCUCCCUUCUUCCCCUUUGACCUCCCACUGCCUCUCUUCGGACCGCACUUUCUCCUCCUCCUGAUCCCAAACUGCUGCAUCCCGCUGAGCACCCCGGGGUAAUCGGACCCCCUGUGCGUUCCUGCCCUGGACUCUCCCGGAGCCCCAGGGCAUCUUCCCUCAACUCCAUUUUUAGCUCCCUAUCGGAUUCCCACGACAGCUGCUCGGAGGCUUUUCCACUCUGCCCAAGCCCGAGCUGACCCUGUCCCCCUCUCCCCGGAACAGACCUCUUCCCGGCAUGGACUGAGAAAGCCCUCCCUCCACAUCCCAUUUCUUUCUACCCCCCUUUGCCCCCUAAACAGGAGUAAUUUC